UACGUAGUGUGCAAGCGUUAAUCGGAAUUACUGGGCGUAAAGCGUGCGCAGGCGGUUUUGUAAGUCUGACGUGAAAUCCCCGGGCUCAACCUGGGAAUUGCGUUGGAGACUGCAAGGCUAGAAUCUGGCAGAGGGGGGUAGAAUUCCACGUGUAGCAGUGAAAUGCGUAGAGAUGUGGAGGAACACCGAUGGCGAAGGCAGCCCCCUGGGUCAAGAUUGACGCUCAUGCACGAAAGCGUGGGGAGCAAACAGG
rnacentral:rRNA from 1 species